GGUUUCUCCUGAGGGUCAAGAGAACUGUUGCCAUGACACAGAGCCUCUUCUGACUAACGUGCUCAGGAAGCCCCACAGUGUUGAGAUCAAACACUGAGGAGGAACCUGCUGCAUCCAUGACACAUGGAUAUUCUCAAAUAUCCACUCAAUAAGACGAAAGCUGUCACUUCAGAUCUAAAUAAUUUAAAUAUGCACAGAUUUACGGUGAGGAAAGAAGCCAUUAUGAAAUUAGAAAGAAAGAACAACAACAACAAAAGAAGGUAACGGAUCUGGCUCAGAGAACUAACAGAAACCUCAGCACUUCCUAUCUCUUAUCGGUAAACCCUGUUGAGAUCCAGAUCUCAUUUUCAAGAGGGACCAUCAUGAAUGAAGUCAUCACCAUUCUGCUGAUGCAUCACUUGAACGGUGAUGAUGUGAAGAGGAAAGAUCUCCAGCAGCAGUCAGGCUUGCAAGUAAUCUGAAGAGAUCUUGGUUUGAACGUCAUCCUUUGAAUCCAUAUGCCAGCAGAAAAUAUUAUUAUUUAAUCAGUGAUUUUGCUGGGUUUCCCCCAGAAAACUUGCUAAGCCCAAUGGUCGGGGCAUCGAGGUGGUCCACCAUGUUUUUGUAUUAAAAGAUGUUAAGUUGA